AAUCUGAAAUAUGUACUCGGACAAUUGCAGUUGUCCAAUUGGGGAGUAUAGUGACCUAUGGCUAUAAGAUGUGUAUGUAAACAUACUGACGGUACAGCAAAUGAAAUUGUGUUUUGGGAGCGUUUCACCUGGUAGCCUGGAAGGUAGUUUGCUCCAACGCAACUGUGUUGGGUGCGUUUCACCUGGAAGCUUGGAAGGUAGUUUGCUCCAACGCAACUGUGUUGGGAGCGUUUCACCUGGUAGCCUGGAAGCUAGUUUGCUCCAACGCAACAGUGUUGGGUGCGUUUCACCUGGUCGCUUGGAAGGUAGUUUUCUCCAACGCAACUGUGUUGGGAGCGUUUCCCCUGGUAGCAUGGAAGGUAGUUUGCUCCAACGCAACUGUGUUGGGAGCGUUUCACCUGGUAGCCUGAAAGCUAGUUUGCUCCAACGCAACUGUGUUGGUAGCGUUUCACCUGGUAGACUGGUAGGCAGUUUUCUCCAACACAACUGUGUUGGGAGCGUUUCGCCUGGUAGCUGACCUGUGUGUUGUCUAGCAUCUGCAUUAGCUAGCUAUAGCUGCUGUAUAUGGGGAAUGGGUUUGCCUAGCGAUUGUUAGUACUUGCACUUUGUCCUAUGAACAUCAACACCGGCAAAUUCCGAUUUGUAGUACUGCAAAUUUAAAUUUUGGACAAUUUUUACAUUUCAAUAUUUUGUCAAAUUUCACAAAGUCCAUUCCAAGAUAUGUACGAACAUCAGCAAUGGAGGCAAGUAAGGUUUAUCACUUUCUAUGGCAAUUUACUUGAGUAAAAUUGUUUGCUCUAUAAAAACAUAUGGUUCUCACUGUACCAUAAUCAUCUUGCUAGAUGUGCCUCAUGCUGUCCUUCAUAUUACUUAUUUGCAAGGAAUUUAAGCAUUGACAAUUAUUUAUGAACGUUGAACCAUGAAAUAAAUGCCUUGAAUUAUUUUUGUUCAGGGGUAGGGUUGGCCCCUGAUCAUUUAAUUUCAAGAUCAGUGUUCUACAGUGUUUGUCAAAUUCAGGACUGGCGCUGGAAGCUGUAGGUGGAGGGAAGACCAGGAGUGGUGCAGCUCUGCAGAUGCUGAAGGUGUGCCAAAGGGUCACGUGUGUUCCUGAAGGGACUGAGGCGACGCAGUCGGAGGUCCCUGCGGUGGCGGUCAGCGGGAGGUGUCAGGACCAACCAGCUCCUCGUCCAGGAAAGGGGAAUUCAUCAGACCGAUUAAAGGUUCAAUAAAGUCACGAUGGAAGAGCAGAUGGCUGUGCAGUUGCCAUGGUGUAGAGACCCAGAGUAUGAUGACUGAACAGUUGAUCUACAACGAUGGCCUUCUCCCCAUCCACCCUGAGGAUCCCUGGCUACACCUACAAUCCAAUCUACACCAGACAUAACCACUCGGAGAUCAACAACUCCUACAACUCCUCCUGCCUCCUCCACACCAUACUGUUACCACUUUACCAUUUUAACUUUAAAACAAAGUACUGUAAUUCACACCAUAUUGUAGGAAAAGCAUGUUUAGCUCGAUGCUUUAUACAUUCUAUUUCUGUGACCCCAACUAUUGUAUUUCUAACCCAGUUACCUCUGAACCCUCUUUCUAAGGGAGCGACUAAAGGGACAAAGCUGGAGCUAACCUGAGCUUAACAAUCGUUCUAAUCUUUCUUUCAAAUGUCCUAAAUUGAAUCACAUAAAAUUCCUAAAGUAACUUGUCUAACAAAACAAAAAGCCAACCUAAUACCCAAACUUAACCAUCUAACUAAAGAUCUCAAAUGCCUAAACUCUCUUACCUUAAACGAGUACCUAAACUGAACCAUCUAACUAAACAUCUCAAAGGCCUAAACUCGCUUACGUCAACCUAACCUAAUACCCAAACUUAACCAUCUAACUGAAGAGCUCAAACGCCUAAACUCUUACCGUAACUUGGUACCUAAACUGAACCAUCUAACUAAACAUCUCAAAGGCCUAAACUCGCUUACCUCAACCUAACCUAAUACCCAAACUUAACCAUCUAACUGAAGAGCUCAAACGCCUAAACUCUUACCCUAACCUAGUACCUAAACUUGACCAUCUAACUAAACAUCUCUAAUACCUAAACUCUUCCCUAAUACCUAAACAAUCUAUAUUACAAUCACUAAUGCCUAAACUUAACCAAUCACCAAUAAUUAAAGUUAACCAUCCUUAAUCUUAAACCCAAACCAGACUUGUCCCUGGGUCGCUCCACUUUCUUUCUUCAAAGGCUUCUCUUUUCCCCCACAUCUGUGUUUUAUUCCUUGAGGACUUCAAGUACUUCAGAUGAUAUUUGAAAACUUGUUUCAUUAAUAAAGAUACUUCAUCUUUACAGAUUUUGUUUUGGGGAAUUGGCUGAGCAGCUUUAGCAUCCUUACUGGUGAAUCUGAUCUGACGAUAACAAUCUUAGGACUAUGAAGCCAAUGACAUGAGGCUGAAUAUGUGAAAAGACGAGGUAGACAAUGAUCGAGGAGUCAACAAGGAGUUGAUUGGUAACUAUCUAACAUGGAACCAAACGCCUAUUUAUUGAUCCGUUACCAGGCUAUCGCAGUAGGGGAAUCUGAAGGAGUACCAUACUGUGUUGCAUGGGUUCUUGCUAGAUUGCAUUACGGCUGAGGCCAUUGAUUAAGAUUGUUAAUUUGAAGAAUAUGAAUAAAGAGUACUUGAAGUGGA